rnacentral:rRNA from 1 species
GACGAACGCUGGCGGCGUGCUUAACACAUGCAAGUCGAACGGAAAGGCCCUGCUUUUGUGGGGUGCUCGAGUGGCGAACGGGUGAGUAACACGUGAGUAACCUGCCCUUGACUUUGGGAUAACUUCAGGAAACUGGGGCUAAUACCGGAUAGGAGCUCCUGCUGCAUGGUGGGGGUUGGAAAGUUUCGGCGGUUGGGGAUGGACUCGCGGCUUAUCAGCUUGUUGGUGGGAUAGUGGCUUACCAAGGCUUUGACGGGUAGCCGGCCUGAGAGGGUGACCGGCCACGUUGGGACUGAGAUACGGCCCAGACUCCUACGGGAGGCAGCAGUGGGGAAUAUUGCACAAUGGGCGGAAGCCUGAUGCAGCAACGCCGCGUGCGGGAUGACGGCCUUCGGGUUGUAAACCGCUUUCGCCUGUGACGAAGCGUGAGUGACGGUAAUGGGUAAAGAAGCACCGGCUAACUACGUG